GACGAACGCUGGCGGCGUGCUUAACACAUGCAAGUCGAACGGAAAGGCCCUGCUUUUGUGGGGUGCUCGAGUGGCGAACGGGUGAGUAACACGUGAGUAACCUGCCCUUGACUUUGGGAUAACUUCAGGAAACUGGGGCUAAUACCGGAUAGGAGCUCCUGCUGCAUGGUGGGGGUUGGAAAGUUUCGGCGGUUGGGGAUGGACUCGCGGCUUAUCAGCUUGUUGGUGGGGUAGUGGCUUACCAAGGCUUUGACGGGUAGCCGGCCUGAGAGGGUGACCGGCCACAUUGGGAUGGAGAUACGGCACAGACUACUACGGGAGGCAGCAGUGGGGAAUAUUGCACAAUGGGCGGAAGCCUGAUGCAGCAACGCCGCGUGCGGGAUGACGGCCUUCGGGUUGUAAACCGCUUUCGCCUGUGACGAAGCGUGAGUGACGGUAAUGGGUAAAGAAGCACCGGCUAACUACGUG
rnacentral:rRNA from 1 species